UACGGAGGGAGCUAGCGUUGUUCGGAAUUACUGGGCGUAAAGCGCACGUAGGCGGCUUUGUAAGUUAGAGGUGAAAGCCCAGGGCUUAACCCUGGAAUUGCCUUUAAGACUGCAUCGCUAGAAUUGUGGAGAGGUGAGUGGAAUUCCGAGUGUAGAGGUGAAAUUCGUAGAUAUUCGGAAGAACACCAGUGGCGAAGGCGACUCACUGGACACAUAUUGACGCUGAGGUGCGAAAGCGUGGGGAGCGAUCCGG
rnacentral:rRNA from 1 species